GAUGAACGCUGGCGGCGUGCCUAAUACAUGCAAGUCGAGCGAACAGACGAGGAGCUUGCUCCUCUGACAUUAGCGGCGGACGGGUGAGUAACACGUGGAUAACCUACCUAUAAGGCUGGGAUAACUUCGGGAAACCGGAGCUAAUACCGGAUAAUAUAUUGAACCGCAUGGUUCAAUAGUGAAAGACGGUUUUGCUGUCACUUAUAGAUGGAUCCGCGCCGCAUUAGCUAGUUGGUAAGGUAACGGCUUACCAAGGCAACGAUGCGUAGCCGACCUGAGAGGGUGAUCGGCCACACUGGAACUGAGACACGGUCCAGACUCCUACGGGAGGCAGCAGUAGGGAAUCUUCCGCAAUGGGCGAAAGCCUGACGGAGCAACGCCGCGUGAGUGAUGAAGGUCUUCGGAUCGUAAAACUCUGUUAUUAGGGAAGAACAAAUGUGUAAGUAACUAUGCACGUCUUGACGGUACCUAAUCAGAAAGCCACGGCUAACUACGUG
rnacentral:rRNA from 1 species